rnacentral:rRNA from 1 species
CCUGAGAAACCCAAAAGAUCGAAUGGGGAGAUUCAUCGUCAGCGAGCCUGGCACGUGUACGGUUCGUGAUGUCGGAGACUUCGGUCUCGCGGCACUCGUCCGUAUGAUUUUUGCCAGGUUUCGUCGGCGUGCACUUCUCCCCUAGUAGGACGUCGCGACCCGUUGGGUGUCGGUCUACGGCCCGGGUGGUUGCCUGUCACGUGUCUUGCUUAACGGCAACCCGUGGCAGACCCCCGGUUGUCUGACCAGCUGCUCGGCGGUACUCGCACGGUAUCGAGUCGCAGAUAUUCAAACUGCGUCCGGCCCGCCGCAAGCGAGGCCAGUGUUUCCCGGAUGUACGGACCUAGCGCCGUCGUCGGGCCUGGCCAGCUGUUGGCUGGCGGUGUCCUGGGACUGGCUCUUAAUUAUGAUUACCGGUCGGCGACGCUACUGCUUUGGGUACUUUCAGGACCCGUCUUGAAACACGGACCAAGGAGUCUAACAUGUGCGCGAGUCAUUGGGAACUCUUAAGCCUAAAGGCGCAAUGAAAGUGAAGGUCGGCCUUGCGCCGACCGAGGGAGGAUGGGCCGUUUUACGAUGCGGUCCCGCACUCCCGGGGCGUCUCGUUCUCAUUACGAGAAGAGGCGCACCCAGAGCGUACACGUUG